CAAACUACCCAUCCCAUCUCUCGCGAGAAAAAUUCCCUAUCGCCGUCCAGAUCGGAGAUCACCUCGGCCUCCUCCACCACGCGCCCGCUUCCUCCCAUGGUCGUGUCCUCCCGACCCACCCUCCUCUUCGCUCACCACGCCGGCGCAGGUGGUCACGCGGGCGUCCAUUGAUCUGCAACUCUCACCGCCUUCAUAACGCUCAAGCGCCGCCCACGGAUAGACGAUGGCUUCAGCCGUGUCAACGAGGUCGAGGAGUCCCUUGACCUAGCCCUUGACCUCACCUUCGUCGGAGGCCUCGCCCAUCUCGAUGGGGCCGGUUACUUAUCUCUCGGGGAUGCCCUGCCCUCCCCUGGCGUGCUGGGGACCGAUGAUGCCCUGCCUUCCCCUGGCGUGCUGGGGAUCUGGUGGCGCCCGUCGAACGUCGAGAGGUGGCACAGCCCCGCCACACACUUGUUCCUCCUCCUCAGGAUCCUCAAUUCCUCAUCUAAAAGCUGUGAUAUUUCCCUCCUUCAUGGAUGUAUGGAACUGCGUGAAUGGGACAGCGAAGCCACUGUCAUGAAACUUGCAGAAUGAUGACAGAGAUAUCGAAAGAUUUUCUAAAAUGAGUAUGGAGAUGACAAGAUCGAAAAGGACGGUGAUAUAAGGAAAGCGGGGAGUGGAGGAGGAAGAAAGUUGGGAUGCCAAUUAUAAAUAGGUUAAUACUUCAAAUCUUUAUGCACUAAGGUAUUCUUUGUGUUAGAAAUAAUUGUUUAAAAGGCUCAUGAUUUUGGCGAAACUGUAUGAUGUAUGUGUGUUCCUUCACAUGGACAAAUAUGAAAGGGUACCCAUUAUGAAAUCAUAGACCAGUGAUGUAUCAUUUCUUUGUCUUUCUUAUUGCAAAUAUGGCUCACAGGGCCGCGCUCUCAUUUGAUUUUGAUGAUGAUGAUGAUGAUGAUGAUGAUGAUGAUUGGAACCAAGAGGAGGAAGCAAGCAGGAGCCAAGAACAUCUGUGUGAUAUGGAAGCUCUUAACAAUGGUUAGCGUAUGGUUCGCAAGUUAUUUCUCUGGUUCAUCUCAAAUUGAGCGUCUUGAUACUUCAUAUGAAUAUUUGGUUGUAACAAAUUGUUUUCCGCAAGUCACAAUUUUUUGUAUGCAAGAAAUAUGUAUAAAAUUCCUCAAAGCAUUGUAGAUAAGCAGCUUCAUAUGUCUGAGUGUCUGAUAUGCCUUUCUUUUUCUGUUUUUCCUGCCAGAAAGAAAGCAAGUGACCUAUUUAAUCUCAGAGAUAUGUCCCAUUAUCAGUUUUGAGGAGUCAUUGUUCCAGUCACACAAAAUGUUGACAGAUGUAUCAUUUACAAUGACCAUUCAAUUGUAAUUUCAGUGCCAUGUCAUAAAAUUUCAAUUCACCAGUUCAACCCCUUCCAUAAGAUAUUGGAUCAACAGUUGGAAGUGAAUCGUGCAAUACAUCACUCUAAUAUUAGUUAUAAUCGGCUGACCAUGUAGGAUGUACCGCUUGUGAUGUAUUACACUCCAUAUCUCCUUACAAUUUGUAGCGUGAAAUUUUUAUUCCUCUCAUUUGUCCAUUUUUUUGUUCUAUCUCUUAAACUGGUGAAUAGGAAGUUAUGUUGUU